UUAGUAUAUGAAAGAUGAUAAAUACUGUGGAGACAAGCUGUGAAGAAUGAAGACAAGAAGCUGAUGUUUGGUGUGAAUGAAGAGGGGGCAGGCUGUGAAAAGUGAAAUCACAUGCUCGGAGCAAAAGGCUAGGAAACUUUUCUUCACCAUAAUGUUAUGAAUGGAAAUAGGUAGCAAUGUUAUAUUUGACAAAUUUGUAGAAGAUGAUGUUAGUUGAGACGGGAGAUGGUGAGAGCCUGGAGGAGUGUUUUAGGUUAUGAAUGAGAAUAAAAGUGUAAAAUGUAUAACCGUAAAGUAGAAAGAUGGAGUAAGAAUCAAUUCGGAAUUCAGCUGAAGGCUGUGCCAAGGCCAUGGACCUGAGGAGCUGCAGAAGAGGCAAGAUAGUGGUAUUUCCAUAGUGACAGAAAAAGAGGAACUUCACAGAAGCAAAGAAGAGCCCUACUAUGACUGUGCCACUCUUAAGCAGAUGGCUGAAACAUGGAGCAGUUUUUGUUGGUAUAGAACCAGACAGUGAUCUGUCUUUUCCUGCUGAGUGUUGGGUGAUACAGACCUACAUGUCUAGACCCAGGAGAGCUCACCCACAAGGCUUAGUCCAGUUGCCUGUUGCAGGACAUCAACUUUACGAUGGAUCAAAGCCCUCAAUAUAGAACAAAUAUUUGGUGCCUUCUAAGCUCCACCAAACUGUGGCGAGAUACAGUAGCAAGAAGCCUGCCCCUACUGUCUAAGGAAUUAAAAUUGUACUGCAUGAAAACUAAUACUUACAAAAUAGGAAUUUAUGAAUUUUAGUAUAAAAAUUAUUUAUCUGGAUCAAACCUUUCUUGCAGCUAAAAGAUGGAAUUGUUGCUUUACUUUAAAUGUGUAAUUGCUUAUUUCUAAUUUUUACUGAUGAUUGUUUAUGAAGCAUGUAGGAGUGGGAGAACCUGAGCUUACACAUCCCUCAGUCUGUUGUAGAGCAGUUUGAAGAGGGCUGCAGGCAGCAUCACUGCACCUGAAACUCAUACAACCAAGCUUCAUGGAUGAUCAUUGCAGAGACCUUUACUUCUCAUGGUUCUUGUAUGAGAUAGAGGGCCAGAGAUACCAUUACAGAGCUGUGAGCCUGAGGUUUAUUGUGCUCAUAAAGUAAUGUGAUUGAUAAAUUAUUCUGUCGAUUUUUGAUAUCAUGUUUUUGUAUUAUGAUGCCUCCAAUAAAAAAAGCAGUAUUACAGUCUUGAGAGUUACAUUGCUAAGGAUUGUCUGCAAACUGUGAAUAUCAAAGGCCAAAUGACAUGAUAAAGAGAAGUGUGAAAAGAAAAAAGCAAAACUUCCCUUUAAAAGCUUUAAUUGGUACAACUAUGACUCAAUUUCAACAAAUGAUUUUAUUUUUUUUUAAUUAAAUAGGAAUGAACCAUAUGUACUGUUCAGAAAAGGAAGUGGCUGGGGCGCAGCAUUUCAAAAUAAACAGCUGUUCAAAUAUAAAUUUCCUGUUUAUUGAGAUUUCAGUUGUAUCGGAGUAAAGGUCUCCGAGUGGCUGAGCAAGUCAAUCAUUAUAUACCUUGUUAGUGUGACAGCCCCCUGUGUAUUGUUUAACUGGAAAUAAAACACAAAUACUCCAGACCC